AAAAUAAAAGAGACUGGCCAUCUUACUUGUCACAGUUGGUGUUUGCAUACAAUACCACAGAACACCAGUCUACAGGUUACUGUCCUUAUGUCCUGAUGUUUGGACAAGAACCACACUUACCGGUAGAUUUUAUGUUAGGACUGGAUGACUAUGGCCCAACAAAUGUGGACUGGAUAGUUGACCACCGAGAUAAUUCCCGAGCCCAUCUUCAGAAAGCUGCAGCUCAGCGUGCCCGUGUAAAUGAUGCUAAGGUGUCACAGAUGACAUUAAGGGAAGGCCAUUUGGUAUAUAAAAAAGCACAUGAUCAUCAAGGCAGAAAGAAAAUCCAGGAUGUUAUCAAAUUGUUCGAUGUCCCGAGGGGCAAGGGUCUGUAUAUUCUAUUAUUCCAGUUGAUGGUGGAAAAGUGAGACAAAUACACUGUAGUGAGUUGUGACCAGUUUAUGUCCCAUCAGAAGGUCGAACCGAAAGUCCAGGACUAUUCCCUUUAAGUGAGGAUCCUUAAGGAGCAGAGAAGGGAUAUGAUAGUCAUGUUAUCAAGUGAACCUGGUGUGCCUGCAGAGAAUGAGUCAUGCAUACCACUUCCAGCAGAAGAAGGUGAUCCUGAAGAGCUGACUUUACAGCCAUGUCGACAACCGGAACAGCCAGUGCAGCGACAGGUGGACCUAGUAAGGCGGACAACCCGGUCCACAGCAGGGCAGCAUACAAAUCCACAUAAUCUUCCUCAGUCAGCCGUGUGUAGAGAAGUCCAUUCAAAUGGUUAUAUCUUUCUCCCGAGAACAGAGCUCUCCAGUGUUACAAACACCCUGUUUUUUUGACCAUGGUCAUAGAAAUUUGAUCGACGGGACGUCAAUUUAAAGUAAGGGAGGUAUAUUGUAAUGGGAUGGAGGUAGCAUUAGUAGUGGCUCCAUAUUAGGCAUGCUUGGGACUAAAAAAUGUGUUGGACUACAGAUCCCAUGAGUCCAAGUACUAUAAAGGGGGAAAUCAAAUCUUCUGGCCUUUCUCUUUGUGGGACCAUGUGCUGAGUAGGAGAAGCUGUGUGUAUGCUUAAAGGAUAUAUACUGGUGGAUGCCUCAGAAAUUGAGUAGAUUCAUUCAUUAACACAGAUGAUGCAUGAUUGCCGUUUACUUUUAUCUAAAAUAUUGGUGGGUUAAUGUUGGGUUGUAAGAUAUAUGACUUUUAAAAGUUUACACUAUGAUGAAGUGAUUUGAAUUUAUUGUGGGAGUUUGUUUUUGUUUUGUUUAUUUGUUUUUGUUUUGUUUUAAUCAACCAAAGACAAAGGGGUUCCCAUUCUUGUAUGUAUGGUUGACUCUCUUAAGGUGAUUGGGCACAAUUUGUAGUGGUUUGAGUCAAGUGCGUGUUGGUUUUCUAUUACACUUGUAGUGUUAUUGGUUUUGUGCUGUGAUUUGAUUGUGCUCUUUAAUAGUGGAAUUGCCAUUGUAUGGGAUUGGGGAACCCUAUGGUCUGUAGUGGGUUAAACCUUUUUGUUCUUUUAGUUUC